CGUAGGCGAGCGUUAUCCGGAAUUAUUGGCGUAAGCGUGCGCAGGCGGCUGAUUAAGUCAGGUGUGAAAGGCUGCGGCUCAACCGCAGAGCGGCACCUGAAACUGGUCAGCUUGAGUGCAGGAGAGGGAGCGGAAUUCCCGGUGUAGCGGUGGAAUGCGUAGAGAUCGGGAGGAACACCAGUGGCGAAGGCGGCUCUCUGGCCUGUAACUGACGCUGAGGCGCGAAAGCGUGGGAGCAAACAGGAUU
rnacentral:rRNA from 1 species